GAAGAAAAAAAUUUUGAUGGUCCCCAUUGACUUCCAUAGUAUUUUUUUUUCCCAUACUAUGGAAUUCGGUGGGGACCAUUACAUGUUUGGUUACCUAUAUUCUUCAAAAUAUCAUCUUUUGUGUUACAGAAAAAAGAAACUCGUACAGGUUUGGAAUAACCUGAGGGUGAGCUCUGAUUUUUGGGUGAACGAUCCCUUUAAGCUUAUUUCGUUACAAGUGUCCCUCUCCCUUCUCUUUGUUUUAUGUAUUUCCUGUGGAGAACCUCUGUCAGCAAGCAGAAAGAUACCGUCUGGUGGAGGACUUCUCAGUGGCAUUUGGAGAGGUUUCUCAGUGAUGCCUUUUGCAGAAAAAAAUCAGGAAGAGAGAAAAAAAAAAAUAGAGGAAAAUAAAAUCUCUUUACAUAAAUAUAUUGAAGGGUGGGGUUCUAGUUUUUGUUGUUUAUCCAAACUUUGUUUACCUAUUACUGCCAUGUCAAUAGUGUGAUGUUUGUGUUUUGGCUUAAAACUGGACCUCAAUGUCUGCAGUAUUUUUAUGCCUUUUUAUUUGAUGUGCGUAACUUAAUAUUUCAAUACUUGAUUUCUGUGCGGUAUUUGAUUGUGUACUGUUAAAGCACCUAUUUAUAUCAUUGGAUAUGUGUUUUAGUAUAGCGAGAGACAAGUUGCUACAAGUUUGCCAAUUUGAGAGUACAAUAAAGAUACACUGAAGGAA